UACGAAGGGGGCUAGCGUUGUUCGGAUUUACUGGGCGUAAAGCGCACGUAGGCGGUCCGUUAAGUCGGGAGUGAAAGCCCCAGGCUCAACUUGGGAAGUGCUUUCGAAACUGGCGGACUUGAAUACUGAAGAGGAUCGCGGAAUUCCCGGUGUAGAGGUGAAAUUCGUAGAUAUCGGGAGGAACACCAGCGGCGAAGGCGGCGAUCUGGGCAGAUAUUGACGCUGAGGUGCGAAAGCGUGGGGAGCAAACAGG
rnacentral:rRNA from 1 species